GGCCAAUCAAACCCGGGAGAUAGCUGGUUCUCCCCGAAAGCUAUUUAGGUAGCGCCUCGUGAACUCAUCUUCGGGGGUAGAGCACUGUUUCGGCUAGGGGGCCACUCCCGGCUUACCAACCCGAUGCAAACUACGAAUACCGAAGAAUGUUAUCACGGGGAGACACACGGCGGGGUGCUAACGUCCGUCGUGAAGAGGGAAACAACCCCAGACCGCCAGCUAAGGUCCCAAAAGUCAUGGUUAAGUGGGGAAAACGAUGUGGGGAAGGCCCCAGACAGCCAGGAUGUUGGCUUAGAAGCAGCCAUCAUUUAAAGAAAGCGUAAUAGCUCACUGGUCGAGUCGGCCUGCGCGGAAGAUGUAACGGGGCUAAACCAUGCACCGAAGCUGCGGCAGCGACGCUUAUGCGUUGUUGGGUAGGGGAGCGUUCUGUAAGCCGUUGAAGGUGGCCUGUGAGGGUUGCUGGAGGUAUCAGAAGUGCGAAUGCUGACAUAAGUAACGAUAAAGCGGGUGAAAAGCCCGCUCGCCGGAAGACCAAGGGUUCCUGUCCAACGUUAAUCGGGGCAGGGUGAGUCGCACCCUAGGCGAGGCCGAAAGGCGUAGUCGAUGGGAAACAGGUUAAUAUUCCUGUACUUGGUGUUACUGCGAAGGGGGGACGGAGAAGGCUAUGUCAGCCGGGCGACGGUUGUCCCGGUUUAAGCAUGUAGGCGGAGGUUCCAGGUAAAUCCGGUACCUUAUUAACGCUGAGGUGUGAUGACGAGGCAC
rnacentral:ncRNA from 1 species